CGGGGCUUAAUGUCUUGUAAUUGGAAUGAUGGGAAUUUAAACCUCUUCCAGAGUAUCAAUUGGAGGGCAAGUCUGGUGCCAGCAGCCGCGGUAAUUCCAGCUCCAAUAGCGUAUAUUAAAAUUGUUGCAGUUAAAAAGCUCGUAGUUGAAUUUCUGCUGCAUUCCUUGUGUCCCUCUGGGGUCUGUGCAUGUGGCUUUUUUCGGACGGAGUUUCUUUGUCUGAAUGUUUACUUUGAGAAAAUUAGAGUGCUCAAAGCAGGCUUUCGCCUUGAAUAGUUUAGCAUGGAAUAAUAAAGUAGGACUUUGGUUCUAUUUUGUUGGUUUUAGGUACCAAAGUAAUGGUUAAUAGGAACAGUUGGGGGCAUUCGUAUUUAACUGUCAGAGGUGAAAUUCUUAGAUUUGUUAAAGACGAACUACUGCGAAAGCAUUUGCCAAGGAUGUUUUCAUUAAUCAAGAAC
rnacentral:rRNA from 1 species